CCUANGGGUGGCAGCAGUGGGGAAUCUUGGACAAUGGGGGAAACCCUGAUCCAGCAAUGCCGCGUGUGUGAAGAAGGCCUGCGGGUUGUAAAGCACUUUCAGUGGUGAAGAGGGCCCCUUCGGGGGCCGGACGUUAACCAAAGAAGAAGCACCGGCUAACUCUGUGCCAGCAGCCGCGGUAAUACAGAGGGUGCGAGCGUUAAUCGGAAUUAUUGGGCGUAAAGGGCGCGUAGGUGGCCCUAUAAGUUAAGUGUGAAAUCCCAUGGCUUAACCAUGGAAUUGCACUUGAUACUGUAGGGCUAGAGUAUGGUAGAGGGAAGUGGAAUUUCCGGAGUAGCGGUGAAAUGCGUAGAUACCGGAAGGAACACCAGUGGCGAAGGCGGCUUCCUGGACCAAUACUGACACUGAGGCGCGAUAGCGUGGGGAGCAAACAGGAUUAGAUACCCGGNUANUC
rnacentral:rRNA from 1 species